CAAGGGAAUGAGAGGAUUGAUGUGUAAUAUGAUAUUGUUUCUAAAAUAAAAAAAUUCUUAAUAUAAAUUUGUCACAGGAGAGGCUCAAAAGGCACAGACAGAUUAAUUUCUACAAAACUUGAAAGGUUGUGAGUAAAUGAGAACUAAAGGGAAAUUGAGGCAAAAAAGGAACUUUAAAUAUUAUAGAUGGGAAGAAUGAAAAAAUGAGAACUCACAUCUUCCUUUUUACAGUCAUGUGUACUUGUAAAAUAGGUAUUUUCUGACUAAAAGGAACUUUCAAAUUGAAAAUCCUCUAGUCUGUAAAGUACCAUGUAAUAUUAGACUGUCAGUGAACAUCCUUAUCAUAAUUGUCUGUGGCUGAAGAAGAAUUCAGAAUGUCGCAGAAAUAAUUUUUAAAUAUGUCUGUUAGUGCACUGUGAACUGCAGUCACUUGCAAAGUCAGGCUCCAUAGUGAAGGUACUGCAGACCUUCUGACUUCUACUGAUAGGGAGAUUGGGUGUUGUAAGUAGAGACAAAAUUAUCUUGUGUCAUCUUAAUGUGCUGCCAUUCUCCUGUUAGGCAAACUCAAAAGGUAUAGCUAAUAUCAGCAAAUAUUUAGCUUCUACUGGAUAUCAGUCAAAAAGGCUGCAAGAUAAGAUACAAAGAUUUCCCCACCAUGCUGUGCCCUUCUUAUGUUAUACUCCUGCCAACAAUACAUUCUUUUUGUUUGGUAGGGUAAUUCUGUUUUUUCUUCUUGUUUUUUUUUUUUUUUUUGAUUUUUCAGAGGGAUAUGACUGCACUGUGCUGAUUGGAAAUCACUAAAUUUAUAAUAUAAACAAUAACCUUGCAAGUAGUCUGAAAGAUGAUUGUGACUUCCUUUUAUGAAAGACUCAAAUUGAGCUCAAAACUAAAAAUACAUGGUUUCAGGUUUAAGAAAAAUUUCAGAGAUCACAAGUAGAAAGGUAGAAAUGAAGUCUGCACUCUAGCUGAUUUUGAUUUUCAAUGUGUGAUGCUUUUUAUUUGCAAAUUCUUUACAAUGGAAAUAAAUUUUCAGGACAAACAUCAUCACAAAACUGAGAGUUCAGAUCCCCAAGGAAAGCCAAGGAGUAACAAAAAUGGAAAAAUGGAAAAUUUCAGUGUACAUGAUGAUUUGCAAGCAUCUGGCACAACAAAAAGAACAGAAUGUGGCAUCACACUGCUGAGGAGAAUAGUAAGACUGGACUAAAUAGUAAGACUGGACUGAAGCUCAUACAAGGACAUCCUGUGCUUUUAGCGUUGUAUUUGUUAUCUAAGGUGUGUUUUGGUUGCUCUGCAUUCCAGUUGUAGAAAACACUGCUAAAAAGGGAUAGAAACAAUAAUUAACAGAUAUAAUUUACAAUAAAAUACAAUACAAUUCUGAUGCA
rnacentral:lncRNA from 1 species